GACGAACGCUGGCGGCGUGCUUAACACAUGCAAGUCGAACGGAAAGGCCCUGCUUUUGUGGGGUGCUCGAGUGGCGAACGGGUGAGUAACACGUGAGUAACCUGCCCUUGACUUUGGGAUAACUUCAGGAAACUGGGGCUAAUACCGGAUAGGAGCUCCUGCUGCAUGGUGGGGGUUGGAAAGUUUCGGCGGUUGGGGAUGGACUCGCGGCUUAUCAGCUUGUUGGUGGGGUAGUGGCUUACCAAGGCUUUGACGGGUAGCCGGCCUGAGAGGGUGACCGGCCACAUUGGGACUGAGAUACGGCCCAGACUCCAACGGGAGGCAGCAGUGGGGAAUAUUGCACAAUGGGCGGAAGCCUGAUGCAGCAACGCGGCGUGCGGGAUGAAGGCCUACGGGUUGUAAACCGCUUUCGCAUGUGACGAAGCGUGAGUGACGGUAAUGGGUAAAGAAGCACCGGCUAACUACGUG
rnacentral:rRNA from 1 species